ACGACUACAUUAGAUACCCCUGUAGUCCUAGCCGUAAACGAUACUCGCUAGGUGUCGGCCACGGUGCGACCGUUGUCGGUGCCGUAGGGAAGCCGUGAAGCGAGCCACCUGGGAAGUACGGCCGCAAGGCUGAAACUUAAAGGAAUUGGCGGGGAGCACCACAACGGGUGGAGCCUGCGGUUUAAUUGGGCUCAACGCCGGGAAGCUCACCGGAUAAGACAGCGGAAUGAUUGCCGGGCUGAAGACUCUGCAUGACUAGCUG
rnacentral:rRNA from 1 species